rnacentral:lncRNA from 1 species
UCCAUUAUAAAAACGUGAUUUUUUUGAAGAUCUCUUGAAAAAUUCAAAGCUCUGAAUGGUUUUUUGGAAAAGCAUGAUUUUUUGAAAAAAAUCAUAAUUUAAUCAGAUAUUUACUAAGUAUAGUUAGGACACGACAACGAUAGACUCCUAUUUAAAUGGAAAAUUAUACACCAUAAUAUUGAAGAUCGUUUGGUGCAAUGCCUUGAAGCCAGCUUUUGGCUGAAUGCGUAAAGGGAAAAAAAAAAAAAAAACUAAGAAGAAGGAAAAUGACCUCUACCCUCCUCCCUGAAAUUUCCAUCCCUAUUAGUUUCUGGAGUUCACCAAAAUCUCUUGUACCCCCUCACGUUUAAAAUUUUGGUACCUUUAGCUCCCUAAUUAUGUUUUUGUUUGUUCUUUUUAUAAAUUUAAGAUUUUUAUUUUACAAAAUGCCAAACCUUCCAUUAGUCAACUUCCUUUCAUUUCUCUUUCGUUACUUAAAACCAAUCUUACAUCCAUAGACCUCCACUCUAUAAAUUUAGACAUGAAAAGAAAAUAAAUUUUUUUAAUAUUAUGAC